AUUGAACGCUGGCGGCAGGCCUAACACAUGCAAGUCGAGCGGAUGAAGGGAGCUUGCUCCUGGAUUCAGCGGCGGACGGGUGAGUAAUGCCUAGGAAUCUGCCUGGUUGUGGGGGAUAACGUCCGGAAACGGGCGCUAAUACCGCAUACGUCCUGAGGGAGAAAGUGGGGGAUCUUCGGACCUCACGCUAUCAGAUGAGCCUAGGUCGGAUUAGCUAGUUGGUGGGGUAAAGGCCUACCAAGGCGACGAUCCGUAACUGGGCUGAGAGGAUGAUCAGGCACACUGGAACGGAGAGACGGUUCAGAAUCGUACGGGGGGCAGCAGUGGGGAAUAUUGGAGCAUGGGCGAAAGCCUGAUACAGCCAUGCCGCGUGAGGGAAGAAGGUCUUCGGAUUGUAAAGCGCUUUAAGUUGGGAGGAAGGGCAGUAAGUUGAUACCUUGCUGUUUUGACGUUACCAACAGAAUAAGCACCGGCUAACUACGUG
rnacentral:rRNA from 1 species